GCGCCCGUAGCUCAGAUGGAUAGAGCGUCGGACUACGAAUCCGCAGGUCGGAGGUUCGAAUCCUCUCGGGCGCG
rnacentral:tRNA from 1 species